rnacentral:rRNA from 1 species
GACGAACGCUGGCGGCGUGCUUAACACAUGCAAGUCGAACGGAAAGGCCCUGCUUUUGUGGGGUGCUCGAGUGGCGAACGGGUGAGUAACACGUGAGUAACCUGCCCUUGACUUUGGGAUAACUUCAGGAAACUGGGGCUAAUACCGGAUAGGAGCUCCUGCUGCAUGGUGGGGGUUGGAAAGUUUCGGCGGUUGGGGAUGGACUCGCGGCUUAUCAGCUUGUUGGUGGGGUAGUGGCUUACCAAGGCUUUGACGGGUAGCCGGCCUGAGAGGGUGACCGGCCACAUUGGGACUGAGAUACGGCCCAGACUCCUACGGGAGGCAGCAGUGGGGAAUAUUGCACAAUGGGCGGAAGCCUGAUGCAGCAACGCCGCGUGCGGGGUGACGGCCUUCGGGUUGUAAACCGCUUUCGCCUGUGACGAAGCGUGAGUGACGGUAAUGGGUAAAGAAGCACCGGCUAACUACGUGCCAGCAGCCGCGGUGAUACGUAGGGUGCGAGCGUUGUCCGGAUUUAUUGGGCGUAAAGGGCUCGUAGGUGGUUGAUCGCGUCGGAAGUGUAAUCUUGGGGCUUAACCCUGAGCGUGCUUUCGAUACGGGUUGACUUGAGGAAGGUAGGGGAGAAUGGAAUUCCUGGUGGAGCGGUGGAAUGCGCAGAUAUCAGGAGGAACACCAGUGGCGAAGGCGGUUCUCUGGGCCUUUCCUGACGCUGAGGAGCGAAAGCGUGGGGAGCGAACAGGCUUAGAUACCCUGGUAGUCCACGCUGUAAACGGUGGGUACUAGGUGUGGGGUCCAUUCCACGGGUUCCGUGCCGUAGCUAACGCUUUAAGUACCCCGCCUGGGGAGUACGGCCGCAAGGCUAAAACUCAAAGGAAUUGACGGGGCCCCGCACAAGCGGCGGAGCAUGCGGAUUAAUUCGAUGCAACGCGUAGAACCUUACCUGGGUUUGACAUGGAUCGGGAGUGCUCAGAGAUGGGUGUGCCUCUUUUGGGGUCGGUUCACAGGUGGUGCAUGGCUGUCGUCAGCUCGUGUCGUGAGAUGUUGGGUUAAGUCCCGCAACGAGCGCAACCCUUGUUCACUGUUGCCAGCACGUUAUGGUGGGGACUCAGUGGAGACCGCCGGGGUCAACUCGGAGGAAGGUGGGGAUGACGUCAAGUCAUCAUGCCCCUUAUGUCCAGGGCUUCACGCAUGCUACAAUGGCUGGUACAGAGAGUGGCGAGCCUGUGAGGGUGAGCGAAUCUCGGAAAGCCGGUCUCAGUUCGGAUUGGGGUCUGCAACUCGACCUCAUGAAGUCGGAGUCGCUAGUAAUCGCAGAUCAGCAACGCUGCGGUGAAUAAGUUCCCGGGGCU